UUGAACAACUAAUUAACGCUGC
rnacentral:miRNA from 1 species